rnacentral:piRNA from 3 species
UGCAUAAUUUGUGGUAGUGGGGG